UGGGAGCUUGCUCCCUGAUGUUAGCGGCGGACGGGUGAGUAACACGUGGGUAACCUGCCUGUAAGACUGGGAUAACUCCGGGAAACCGGGGCUAAUACCGGAUGCUUGUUUGAACCGCAUGGUUCAAACAUAAAAGGUGGCUUCGGCUACCACUUACAGAUGGACCCGCGGCGCAUUAGCUAGUUGGUGAGGUAAUGGCUCACCAAGGCAACGAUGCGUAGCCGACCUGAGAGGGUGAUCGGCCACACUGGGACUGAGACACGGCCCAGACUCCUACGGGAGGCAGCAGUAGGGAAUCUUCCGCAAUGGACGAAAGUCUGACGGAGCAACGCCGCGUGAGUGAUGAAGGUUUUCGGAUCGUAAAGCUCUGUUGUUAGGGAAGAACAAGUACCGUUCGAAUAGGGCGGUACCUUGACGGUACCUAACCAGAAAGCCACGGCUAACUACGUGCCAGCAGCCGCGGUAAUACGUAGGUGGCAAGCGUUGUCCGGAAUUAUUGGGCGUAAAGGGCUCGCAGGCGGUUCCUUAAGUCUGAUGUGAAAGCCCCCGGCUCAACCGGGGAGGGUCAUUGGAAACUGGGGAACUUGAGUGCAGAAGAGGAGAGUGGAAUUCCACGUGUAGCGGUGAAAUGCGUAGAGAUGUGGAGGAACACCAGUGGCGAAGGCGACUCUCUGGUCUGUAACUGACGCUGAGGAGCGAAAGCGUGGGGAGCGAACAGGAUUAGAUACCCUGGUAGUCCACGCCGUAAACGAUGAGUGCUAAGUGUUAGGGGGUUCCCGCCCGUAAUU
rnacentral:rRNA from 1 species